rnacentral:rRNA from 1 species
UACGUAGGGUGCGAGCGUUGUCCGGAAUUAUUGGGCGUAAAGAGCUUGUAGGCGGUCUGUCGCGUCUGCUGUGAAAAUCCGGGGCUCAACCCCGGACUUGCAGUGGGUACGGGCAGACUAGAGGUAGGUAGGGGAGAAUGGAAUUCCUGGUGUAGCGGUGGAAUGCGCAGAUAUCAGGAGGAACACCGAUGGCGAAGGCAGAUCUCUGGGCCGUAACUGACGCUGAGGAGCGAAAGCAUGGGGAGCGAACAGG